rnacentral:lncRNA from 1 species
UUUUUUUGAGAGAAUAUUCCACAAUGGAACGUUGGCUGUAAUUUUUUUUAGAGUUUUCUGUCAAUAUUUCGUUUGCUAAACAGGGUUUUUUUUCCCCACCCGAAUUUGCAGCCGUUAAAGGUGAACUGCGACCUCUGACCUCCUCGCACCCUCGCGUGUGGCGUCUUGUCGAGCAGGAUGGGCCCUGUGGAUGGAGGCAGGCUCUGCAGAACCGACCCCGCGCUGCCCCUCGGCAGUCUUGUGGUAGUAAAAACACCCAGAAGACCCUGGUGGCCGGCAAUAUUGAGUCGAGACCCUGCGUUUGAGGAAUAUGUGAUGUAUGACGGUGGAGGACGUGUUAGGAUGUACCACGCAGAAUUGCUAGGGACGCCUCGCAGAAGCGUGUGGGCCUUGGCGCAGAAUGCCGAGCUCUACCACACUGUGUCCACCAGCACCAACAGAUUGAAAUGUGCACUGAGGAGGUCUUAUGAAGUGGCAGUGGAAGAGGCAGGAAAUCUCAGAAACGUGGACUGCGAAGGAAGGCUGCUCAUGUGCCACUUCAAGCCGCUAGACUUGCUCUCUCACGGUGUGAAACUAAUGUCUGAAAUUGAAAUUAUGAUCAGACAGUGUACUUCAAAGCAGCAGACAUCAAACAUGCACCAGGAGUCCAAGACUGAGGACAUAGAGAUAUGUGAUUCUGUUAUUAUUGAGGGCUUCAAAUUUCAUAGUGCAACUUGUCCAGAGCACUUAACAUUUGCUUAAAACUCAGCAAACCUAUCUAAGGAUGUUAAACAUUAAACUUCAAAUCAUAUACAUCAUACAGAGGUUUUGGCUAGUUGAACACAGUUUUGUUAGCAGCAUUUUAGUUUGUUAAACUAUCUCAAGGUGGCGCUAAAGUGCUGUUGAUUUGUUGGCCCCUUGUUUAAUGAUUGCCACACCAAGCUUAAUAAUCAC